rnacentral:rRNA from 1 species
UACAGAGGGGCAAGCGUUGUUCGGAAUUACUGGGCGUAAAGGGCGCGUAGGCGGCCUUCUAAGUCGAACGUGAAAUCCCCGGGCUCAACCCGGGAACUGCGUCCGAGACUGGCAGGCUCGAAUCCGGGAGAGGGAUGUGGAAUUCCAGGUGUAGCGGUGAAAUGCGUAGAUAUCUGGAGGAACACCGGUGGCGAAGGCGGCAUCCUGGACCGGUAUUGACGCUGAGGCGCGAAAAGCCAGGGGAGCAAACGGGG